AGUGGCCCUGGUUCCCCAUGACAAAAGAAAAAAAGAAUACCUGCAAGAAGUAAGUUGAAGAUAAGGAGUGAGGAGAAGGAAGGUUAGCGGUAAAGCCACCAGUGAUUCUAACAGCAAAGGGACAAGAAAAAAGACUGGAACUUUAUUUAGAGCAUAAAGCUGAUGCUUGGCUUGCCCUCUUGCUCAGAUGGGACCUCAGCUAUGAGGGAAACCAACUUCUGUGUCAUGAGGACAUUCAGGCAGCACUAUGGAGCCGUCCAUGUGGCUAGGAGCUGAAACUGAGCCAAGAAGCAGUGAGGAACUGGCUGGUAACAGCCAUGUGGAUAAGCCAUCUGAGAAGUGCAUGCUCUAGUCUCAGUCAAGCCUUCAGAAGACUGUGGCACCUGACAUCUCAACUGCAACCUCAUUAGAAACUCAAGACAGAACAGCCAGAGAAGCUGUUCCUGAAUUUCUGACCCACAGAAACUGUGUCAAAUAGAUAUUUAUUAUUGUUUUGAGCCCUGAGUUUUUGGAGUGACUUGUUGCUCCGAAUAUGUUAGAUAAUAUAUUAUAUAUGUAAGGUAACAUUCAGUUUUGAUAUUUUCACAAGCAUGAUCAGUUAUUUCAGCACUAUUUAAGAAUUUCUUUCUAUCUUCUGUUAUCAGCAAGAUCAGCUGUGUCAUAAAUUAAGUUUCCAGUUACAUGUAGAUUUGAUUCCGGACUCUUUAUUCUGUUUCACAGGUCACUUUGCUUAUCCUUGAGUGAAUACUUCAUUAUUUAAUUAUUAUAUAUAUAUGUGUGAUAAAGCAUAUGGUUUGCUAUAGUCUUACUUAUUUUUAACCCCUUUGUCUUUUAUAUCUUUAGAAUCAGCUUGACAUUCCUUACAAGAAAAUCCAUUGGGUUUUGAGUGGAAUUACAUUGAGUAUAAGUACCAGUUGGGGGAAAAUUGAUAUCUUCAGUAUGUUGAAUCUUUUAAUCCAUUUGUAAUCCAUGCUGUGUCAUUGUUUUUAUUUGGAGUUGUCUUUCAAAAUGUUUUACAGUUUUCUUUGCAAAGGUCACAUACAUCUUUUGUUAGUUCCAUUACCAGGUAUUUCAUUUUUAUAUACAUGAAUGAAAUAUUAAUAGAUUUUUAAAGAAAUAAAAUUUAAAAUAGCAUAAGAUAUAUCAAAUUGCUCAAGUCAGAAACUGGCACAUAGUAAAUACAUGAUGAAUAUCCUAAAGCAGAUGUAUGAAUGAAUAAAUAAAUGGAUGAAUGGAUGAAUAUGAGACCCAGUAUGCAUAUCUGUAACCGAUUAUUUCAGAUACCAUUCUGCUUAGGUAUUCAUUAUUCUCGAGGGAUUUUCUCUCCACAAUAAGAAACCUUGAUGUUUCCAGUUCUUACCUCAGUAUGCCACUGAUAAAGUAAAACAGAUCUGAAGGAAUAGUUUCAAAGAGAUGUAAAAUGACAUCUUGUCAACUUGUUUUUUUCCUUUUUCAUGACUCCUUUUUCUUCUUUCUAACUUUUGGCAUCUAUAAUGGAGAUUUCCUUCCAAGCAUAUUUAGUUCAACUUAAAUAUACUUCAUUGAGGCUUUGGCAAACCUUUUCGCGUAUAAGGAUAAUACAGAAUUAUCUAUUUUUCUGUAGUUUGUUUUACUGCUGCUGUUAUUGUUGUUUUAUUUUGUUUGCUAUAAAGUUAAGCCUCUUGUUCAAUGGAAAAUAUGAUCAAAAAUAAUUUUCAAAAAUUAUUUAAGGGCCCCAUCAUUACAGCAAUCAUUAGUCCUACUGUGUAUGAAAUUUCUAAGUAUUUCUAAAUGCUCAACCCUAGACAUUCCCUUCACUGAUAUUUUUAAAGUGCUUUCAGUACCUUGGCCAUUUAAUAACUUAUGUUCUUUUUUCAAAAUCUUAGGAAGAAAUUGCAUUUUGGAAUUGGGCCAAUAGUAUGUGUUUCUCCGGUAGAUAAGCAAAAUUUCAUAAGAACAAAGAUGAUUCAAGCAGAUGUUUAUCACGAAACUGUGAGAAAAAGCACCCAAAGUCACAAAGAUAAACAUUAAAUCCAGUCUUUGGAAAUUUCCCCCACCAUACCUGAGCAUCUUUUGAAGCAGAUAUUCAAUUAUUUUGAAGCAUUUUUAAAGAAUUUCUUAGAUUUUAUCUAAGAGACACUUUUGAAAUCUUAGUUAAAAUUCAUGGAAAUAUAUCCUAGAUGACUUUGGAUAACUGUCAGCAAGUAGGUAAGAACCUUUAUUUUAUCCCUCAGUGACUCACUCAGCUGUGAAUGGCUCUCUGUGAUCUGGUCACAGCUUAUUUCUUGCCACAUCCUAUUUUCAAUCCUCUUCCAAUCAUGUGGAACUUCCAGCAUCUCCUUACACAUGCCAUGUUAUUUUACACUUUUGUGACUUUGCUCAUAUUGUUCUCUCUCCCUGGAAAGCUCCCCGACAAACUCCACUGCCGUUACCCACUAGGCAAGUACGUCCUGUUUUCAGAAGCAGCCCAAUAUCACCUUUCCUACCUAGGGAAUCUUGUCAGACUGCCCUUCAUUACUAACAGACAAAAUAACUACCUUAUCUUUGGUACUCUCUCUCUUCACUCUAGACCUAUGUAGCAUGCUACCUGUAAUAUUGUAUUGGUUUGUUUGCAUUUGUGUUUCCACUGAGCAACGAUAAAUUAUGUAUAGACAAAAAUCGUAUUGCUCACGUUUGGAUUACUAGCAGUGUUCUGAUUCAGAGUAUGUACUCAAUAAAUUCAUCUUGAAAAGUGAAUGAAUGAAUAAAUGAACUCCUAUAUCUCCAUCAUUGAUUUACUAUUUAAUCAGUGAAGUUUUUAAAUUAUAUUCUCCCAUAUCUUGAGAUUUAGUCUUGUGUUAAAUCAGUUGCACACAUUAGACAUUACUUUGUCCUUUUCACUUCUUCUUAGCACAUAUGGGAUAUAUAAUCUUUAUAAAGGUUAAAGAAAUAUAUUGUAAUAUGUUAUAAUACAAUAAAGGUACAUCUGAAACAACAUAGUGCAGACACUGUUUCCAAUGUUGGACAUUAUGCUGGAGUAAAACUUAAAGAAUCUUGGAAAGAAGAAAUACUUAAAUAAUGUCACCAGUGUAAUGUGCCACAUUGUAAUGGUGUUAUGCGUAUUACAUAUCUUGUCUAGUAAUGCACAAAAAGCCUAAAGGAUUUUUUCAUAUUUUCCUCAUGUGAAAAUGAAAACACUGAGUCUCAGAGAGAUUAAAUAAAUUGCCAAGUGUUGUGUCAAGCGAUUUUGAUCCUGGUCUUUCUAAUAUAAAAGUCCAUGUUUUAAAUUAUUAACUGUUUAACAUAUAACAAUGAUAGAUCAUUACAUGGUAAUAUAAAUAUAUAAGUGAACACGAAUUAUAUUUUUACUUCUGCAUUCAAUCAAGUGCAAUAUGUCGUUUUGGUUGAUGGAUACAGAAAAAACUCAACAUCUUGCAGACAUUAGGUUGAAAAAGAGGACAUUUUUAUAUCCGUUUCAGGUAAACAUAUAUAUUUUUCUUUGAUACUACACCAAAAUUUGACAAGUGACCAUUUCUUAAAGGGUAGUAGCAGCAUGAAAUCCAAAGUAACAUCAACAAACUUUUCGUUCUCUAUUACACUAAAA